rnacentral:piRNA from 1 species
UAGUGUUGAGGCUUCAAGGAGUGUGAUGC